UGCUUUUUGAUCCUUCGAUGUC
rnacentral:siRNA from 1 species